GACGAACGCUGGCGGCGUGCCUAAUACAUGCAAGUAGAACGCUGAAGGAGGAGCUUGCUUCUCUGGAUGAGUUGCGAACGGGUGAGUAACGCGUAGGUAACCUGCCUGGUAGCGGGGGAUAACUAUUGGAAACGAUAGCUAAUACCGCAUAAGAGUAGAUGUUGCAUGACAUUUGCUUAAAAGGUGCAAUUGCAUCACUACCAGAUGGACCUGCGUUGUAUUAGCUAGUUGGUGGGGUAACGGCUCACCAAGGCGACGAUACAUAGCCGACCUGAGAGGGUGAUCGGCCACACUGGGACUGAGACACGGCCCAGACUCCUACGGGAGGCAGCAGUAGGGAAUCUUCGGCAAUGGACGGAAGUCUGACCGAGCAACGCCGCGUGAGUGAAGUAGGUUUUCGGAUCGUAAAGCUCUGUUGUAAGAGAAGAACGAGUGUGAGAGUGGAAAGUUCACACUGUGACGGUAUCUUACCAGAAAGGGACGGCUAACUACGUG
rnacentral:rRNA from 1 species